AACCCACCUGACCACUCGGCGUCUUGGCCAAUCCCAUCCCCACACCCGCUGCCUCUCUUGUCCCGUGACCCUACAAAGCCGCCGCAACACAUCCAGUCAUCCACACGCAAGAGCCCCUGCUCUCGUGCGCCACCUCCCGUGCAAGAGAUGCGCUGCAACUCGCCGGUCAUCGGCGACGAGCCCCCGCCCCCUCGCGUCGCAUCCUGCGCACGCGCUGCCUCCUGCGCAGGAGAUGCGCCACUGCUCGCCGGCCGCCGGCGACAAGCCUCCGUCCCCUGUAUGCCAUCAAUCGACCUCUCAUCCUCCAGGUCACCACGGCAGAGAGCACACCCACCAGUCUGCUACGGACGCGGCUAGCUCCCGCGAUGCAGGGAAGAGGAUGAUUCAGCACUCAACACUAAAGCUAGCUUCCGUCGGCCUCCAUGAAUUUGUAGGUUGCUUCAAAUAAUUAUUUUACGCCUGUGCAAAAAUAAGCAAGGAGGUGGCCAUUUGUGCAUAUGACAACAAAUCCCACUUGAUGGUACGGGGAGCAGAAAGUCAAAAGGAAAUCAUGGUAUUUUCCUUGCUUGAGGUAUUUCCUUUCGGUGAUUCUAUAUGGUUUGGUUCUUUUCGGAUGCCAGCGGCAAUCAUGUUCGUGGUCUUUGUGUGCAAGAUGACACAAUGUCGAUGGCUGAAGCUCUUAUGUCAUAGGUACAAUCAAUCAGAUAACAAGCAAGAGAUGAAAAAGGAUUUAGCAAGCAUUGAAACUGAAUAGACAGGUGAAGAGAUUAACUCUGACAUCCUUGUUUAAUUUAUUAUUCAGUAGCGCAUAAACAGCUACAAUUCACAAUACUCGGUACUAUUGUAUUGACCAUUACUAGCUUUAUCAUAUUCGUAGUCCACAAUAAAUCCACACUUCUGAUUUCAAGUUUCAGAGAAUAGUAGAGCAUAAAAUUAGUAACUGAGAGAUGAAUAUUUUGGUGCCUCAUGUCAAUUUCCAUUGAGAUCUGAGUAUUUGAGCAUGCUUCACUGUCUUAUAUUUUGAGCUUGCUAUGCAAAUGCUGGGCAGAUCCAAAAAAAAAAAACUUUGUGCCUUUAUUCUUUCUACUAUUAGAAAUUGAUCACUUAAUUUUUUCUGAAAGAUUCAAGCCAUUUGUUGUACUUUCAAAUGCUGGUAUGUGCAUCAAUGAUCCUUUGAUAGUAUAUAGACAUGGAUGAAAUUUUCUAGACUAAACUUUACUAUUAACUCAGAGCCUCAAAAUUGCCAGCACUAAAUUAGUUAUUGUCCUUCAUAAGGCAGGAAAAAAGAAGAGACAACAUAGUGUGUGGGUGCUAUUCUUGAAUGAUACAGGCAUUUGCGACAUGUAGCACUUUGUAUCCUCUCUGUAGAAUAAAAAUUUCCAAUGUACAACUUUGGGUAUGCUUUCAGCCUCCUAUGCUCUUAAUUAUUCACCCUAUCAAAACUUCAUAUGUUUGUCAUAGUCCGCUGGUUGGUUUUGUGGCAAAGUUGUUUGUAAAACUUUGAGAGUGCAUGGUACUUUUAGCCAAAAAAGAGAUUUCAUGAUUUAGAUGAUUAGUGUCCUUACAUGCAUAUAUGUUGUGAAGGUCAAACCAUGUCUUUUCUGUUUAACUUCGAACAAAGUUAGCUUCUACAGUUUAGCAGUUCCAGUGCCCAUGUGUCUGCAACAACCAUUGCUUGCUACUGCACCUCAAAGAAGUUGUAUGUGCUGCUUCUGUGUACAAAGGAACUGGCAACCCCUCCACAUAAUUCGGGAAAAACACUCAUCCAGCACGCAAAGCACUUAUAGUGGGCUUUCCAAUCUUGAGCCAAGAUAAUGUUCAAACACAAGUCCUUCCCUCACCAAUUGAGAAGAAUCUCCAGCUGGCAAACUAAGGAUUCAUUCGCGGAAUAAUCAGACCACCAGGCAAAAUCAUUAGGGACUGCUCCAGCGAAGUUGUUGCUAUAACCUAAAUGUCAAUGUAUAUAGUACAACUGAUUCUGUAUAUCCCACAUGUAAAAUAUGCUUGUCAAUGACCACAAACCUAGAACCUGAAAAACAUUCAUGUACAAAACAUACUUAUUACCUGCUCUGUUCAAUCUUCAAUUAUCAGCUGUGCGCGCGAUGGCGCGCGCCCUUCACUAGU